UCGGGAAUAUUGGGCAAUGGAGGAAACUCUGACCCAGCAACGCCGCGUGAAGGAUGAAGGCCUUCGGGUCGUAAACUUCUGUCGAGAGGGAAGAAACGCGUACGGUCAAUAUCCGUGCGCCUGACGGUACCUCCAAAGGAAGCACCGGCUAACUCCGUGCCAGCAGCCGCGGUAAUACGGAGGGUGCAAGCGUUGUUCGGAUUUAUUGGGCGUAAAGCGAGUGUAGGCGGUUUGACAAGUCGGGUGUGAAAUCCCAGGGCCCAACCCUGGAACUGCACCCGAUACUGUCAGGCUAGAGUCCCGGAGAGGGUGGCGGAAUUCCCGGUGUAGGGGUGAAAUCCGUAGAUAUCGGGAGGAACACCAGUGGCGAAGGCGGCCACCUGGACGGUGACUGACGCUGAGACUCGAAAGCGUGGGUAGCAAACAGGAUUAGAUACCCCCGUAGUCC
rnacentral:rRNA from 1 species